rnacentral:rRNA from 1 species
CCAGCUCCAAUAGCGUAUACUUAAGUUGUUGCAGUUAAAAAGCUCGUAGUUGAAAUUCGAAUUAGCUGAUAGAGGGCUUAGGCUAUCUAGCAGUUGGUUCUCCGUCUACAAUCCCUCUUGGGCUUCAGGGUUGCAGAGGGCUGAGUAGACAAUUUACCUUGAAAAAAUUAGAGUGUUCCAGGCAGGUUUUCGCCGGAAUACAUUAGCAUGGAAUAAUGGAAUAGGACUUAGGUCUUUUGUUGGUUUUAGGACUUGAGUAAUGAUUAAUAGGGACAGAUGGGGGCAUUAGUAUUUAAUUGUCAGAGGUGAAAUUCUUGGAUUUAUUAAAGACUAACUUAUGCGAAAGCAUUUGCCAAGGAUGUUUUCA